CAGCAGAGGCAGUGAGGAGGCUGACCUCUACCUCCCCCUGCUCUGCCUGGAAGGAGUUGCAGGCAGAAACAGCCAGUGCAUCUCCUGCAGUGCUGAGGCCCCCGUCUUGUGCUUGAGUCCAGUGCAACAUUAUUUAGUGCUGCCAGCCAGAAAGGAAGAAGUGAUAUCCUCUUCUGUGCAUGCUGACCUCUGAAUUCCUUUAACAUUAUCCUUAUAUGUUUUUUCAGGUCUCCUGUCUUUUUUCCCCUGCAGAACUAAUUUGGACUAAACAAAGACAUAAGCAAACUUACCAAAGGUUUGGCACAGACAUAAGUGCUGGUAGAUGGCAACAGCUAUGAAAAGUAGAGUUCUACAUUCAAAACAGUCUUAACAUUUACAUCUUCACUUUUUUUCCUCUGGGAAACGUGGAUGAGUGUCUUUCAGUUUGGUCCUGGACAUGCAAAUACAGCUAUCUGAAU